GAUGAACGCUAGCUACAGGCUUAACACAUGCAAGUCGAGGGGCAGCACUAGGUAGCAAUACUGAGGUGGCGACCGGCGCACGGGUGCGUAACGCGUAUCCAACCUUCCCGUUACUCUUGGAUAGCCUUCCGAAAGGGAGAUUAAUACAAGAUGGUAUUCAAAUUCCGCAUGUUAUUUGAAUUAAAGAUUUAUCGGUAACGGAUGGGGAUGCGUGACAUUAGAUAGUAGGCGGGGUAACGGCCCACCUAGUCUACGAUGUCUAGGGGUUCUGAGAGGAAGGUCCCCCACACUGGAACUGAGACACGGUCCAGACUCCUACGGGAGGCAGCAGUGAGGAAUAUUGGUCAAUGGUCGGAAGACUGAACCAGCCAAGUAGCGUGAAGGAUGAAGGUUCUAUGAGUUGUAAACUGCUUUUGUAUGAGGGUAAUAUCAGGUACGUGUACCUGCUUGAAAGUAUCAUACGAAUAAGGAUCGGCUAACUCCGUG
rnacentral:rRNA from 1 species